AAAUAUUCUUACAAUAAGAAAACAAGCGUUUAAGAUGGCGGAUUCCGCAAUUGCUGAAACAUCUUCAUCAUAUUCUGAAGCUGUAGCUGGAGUUUGUCAUAUUUUCUGCUUGCCUCUGCUUGCCUUGCUGCUGCCUCCGCUUUAAGUUAUUGCUGGAGUUCUUCAUAUUUCUUUGAUCUUCUGCUUCUCUCGAUGUUGUCUUUACUUUAAGUUAAGCAAUUUGUUCAACUGUGCUCGCUUGCAUCUGAGCCAUCUGGUCUUUUAACCUCUGAACUUCAGCUUGAGCCUAAGUCCCCAAAGGCAUGUAUCACUGCGAGUUGGAUCUAAA
rnacentral:lncRNA from 1 species